GCAAAUAGUCAAAGAAUAAUAUCGAUUUUGGAAAUUUUUCGAAACAAUAUUAUGAGAUUACAUUUUGCGUUCCUUGAAUUUCAUUCACAAACGUACAACUAAAUUUUUAAAAGAUAACAUCGUGUCGUUUGUGUUCACGCAACUUUCACUCUUAUAGUAUAAGACACACCUGUUACUCCGCCAUAACAUCACGUACACGUAUAAGCCGACCAAACGAACAGAAACUAGAAUCACCGUUGCCGCAACUUUUUAAUUCGGUCAGGUUAAUUCACACAUGCGCACUGAAAUCGCUAAACAAUUUCUGGAUAAAGCUAUUUAGUUCACUAAAAAUGAUUCACUGCUGUAAUAGAUACUUAUUUUAAGAUGUAGCAUGGGCCCGUACGGCGCACGCCCGGCAACUGACGUUUUCAAGGUCAUUCCACGCGAACUUAUGUCCAACGUUGGAAACACGGUUGGAACAGUUGAAGAUUUCUCUUUGUUCUGUUACACGUUGAUGAAGUAUCAUUUGCCAUAUUAGUUAAAAUCAUACAAUCAUUAUUUUC